AAUGCCACAUGACAAAACCCGUACCAGUCUUCCUUCUAAGUCCUGUCAUUUUUCCCUGGACCGGAGGAGAGCUCUGACCCUCUCACCUGAGAUCAAACGUGAAAGCUGUCAGGCUGAAAGUCCUCUUAAGAUCCCCAGGAGGGUGUCCACAGCUGAGGAUGAGCUUGUGGAUACAGAGAUGUCAAAAGAUCGGAAUAAGAGCCACUCCAAGAUCCACUGGACACAGCUGGCCUCAAAUGGUACAUCAAGUGAUCAAGAACAUACCAUAUGGAAGGAAAUCAAAAGGCGCCAGGUCAAGGUGGUUUUAGAAGAUGUCCUUCAGACAGAGAUCGGGCAGAGAUUGCUGAGAUGUGGCGGGCAGAUUUGCCUAAAGACAAACCAAUCAGAGAACAAAAGGCAGAGUGAUCACACCUCAACAUCUUCACUCAAAAGACAAGAGGAGAACCAGUCUAACAAAAAGAGGAGAAACGGACUCUACUGGACCAAAAGCCACUUCACCAUCCCAUAA
rnacentral:lncRNA from 1 species